AGAGUUUGAUCAUGGCUCAGAGCGAACGCUGGCGGCGUGCUUAACACAUGCAAGUCGAGUGCGCGUCUGUAGCAAUACAGAUGGCGCACGGCGCACGGGUGCGUAACACGUGGGCAACCUGCCCUUUGGAUGGGGGAUAACCCCGCGAAAGCGGGGCUAAUACCGCAUGACAUUCCGGAGACCUCGGUCUCUGGACUCAAAGCCCGCAAGGGCGUCUAAGGAGGGGCCCGCGCCCGAUUAGCUAGUUGGUGAGGUAACGGCUCACCAAGGCAAUGAUCGGUAGCCGGUCUGAGAGGAUGGCCGGCCACACUGGAACUGAGACACGGUCCAGACUCCUACGGGAGGCAGCAGUGGGGAAUAUUGCGCAAUGGGCGAAAGCCUGACGCAGCGACGCCGCGUGGGGGAUGAAGCUUUUCGGAGUGUAAACCCCUUUCGACCCGGACGAAUGACCCGCAAGGGUUUGACGGUACGGGUAUAAGAAGCCCCGGCUAACUACGUGCCAGCAGCCGCGGUAAUACGUAGGGGGCCAGCGUUGCUCGGAAUUACUGGGCGUAAAGGGUUCGUAGGCGGUGCGGCAAGUUGGGAGUGAAAUCUCUGGGCUUAACCCAGAGGCUGCUUUCAAAACUGCCGUGCUCGAGUGCGGGAGAGGCCAGUGGAAUUGCAGGUGUAGCGGUGAAAUGCGUAGAUAUCUGCAGGAACACCCGUGGCGAAAGCGGCUGGCUGGACCGCAACUGACGCUGAGGAACGAAAGCUAGGGGAGCAAACAGGAUUAGAUACCCUGGUAGUCCUAGCCCUAAACCAUCAGAACUUGGGGUGCCCCGCGUAGGCGGGCCGUCCCGUAGCUAACGCGUUAAGUUCUGCGCCUGGGGGAGUAC
rnacentral:rRNA from 1 species